GAAUAACACGAGGAAACUUGUGCUAAUACUUCAUAAGUCUUUACAGAGAAAGCUUUAUGCGCCAAUGGAUGAGCCCGCACUUGAUUAGUUUGUUGGUGGGGUAAUGGCCUACCAAGACUGUGAUCAAUAGCUGAUCUGAGAGGAUGAUCAGCCACAUUGGGACUGAGACACGGCCCAAACUCCUACGGGAGGCAGCAGUAGGGAAUAUUGCACAAUGGAGGAAACUCUGAUGCAGCGAUGCCGCGUGAGUGAAGAAGGCCCUUGGGUUGUAAAGCUCUUUCGUCGGGGAAGAAAAUGACUGUACCCGAAUAAGAAGGUCCGGCUAACUUCGUGCCAGCAGCCGCGGUAAUACGAAGGGACCUAGCGUAGUUCGGAAUUACUGGGCUUAAAGAGUUCGUAGGUGGUUAAAAAAGUUGGUUGUGAAAUCCCGAAGCUUAACUUCGGAACUGCAAUCAAAACUUUUUAGCUAGAGUAUGAUAGAGGAAAGCAGAAUUUCUAGUGUAGAGGUGAAAUUCGUAGAUAUUAGAAAGAAUACCAAUUGCGAAGGCAGCUUUCUGGAUCAUUACUGACACUGAGGAACGAAAGCAUGGGUAGCGAAGAGGAUUAGAUACCCUCGUAGUCCAUGCCGUAAACGAUGUGUGUUAGACGUUGGAAAUUAAUUUUUAGUGUCGCAGCGAAAGCAAUAAACACACCGCCUGGGGAGUACGACCGCAAGGUUAAAACUCAAAUGAAUUGACGGGGACCCGCACAAGUAGUGGAGCAUGUGGUUUAAUUCGAAGAUACGCGCAGAACCUUACCAACACUUGACAUGUUCGUCGCGACUCUAAGAGAUUAGAGUUUUCGGUUCGGCCGGACGAAACACAGGUGCUGCAUGGCUGUCGUCAGCUCGUGU
rnacentral:rRNA from 1 species